rnacentral:lncRNA from 10 species
GUGCUGAACCAGAGCCAUUUUCCAAAACCCUCCUGGCCUCCCGGACCUGUGACGCUUCCUGCAGUUGAUGUGCAAAGUCUCGCUACAAAACCAGCCCCAGGAACACAGAGCCCCAUGUUUCCUCCCUGAAGGACCCAGGGCCUCUAUUCUUCAGUGUCCUCUAUACACAACUCCUUUUGGGGUAUGACAGCUUCACUGCCGGAGGCAACACCAUCUGUAUUCGUGGGAAAGGAGGUGGCUGGGUAGAAGCAGAGGUGUGACUUACAGAUGGGGCAUGCACGGAGGAAGAGUAACAACUGGACAAACACAAGGAAAGAGCAAUGGGGCAAGGACUGCAGGAUGUUGGUAUGGACAAGGUUGAAGCAAUGGACUGCAGAGUGUAAACUCCUAAAAACCACCCAUCUUUUUAUUGUCUCUGUGGGUUUGCCUUUUCCAAAAUGUCCCUUUGUUACCAUUACAUAUCAUGCAGCCUUUUCACCCUGGCUUCUUUCA